UUUUUGUUAUCUUUAUUGUCAUAUUGAUAUAUCUAUUGUAUAUUGGUUCCAUUAUGUUGUGGUACUUGGAUAUUCUGAUUGCAAACCAUGUGGGAACGACUUUUUACGCGAGUCUAGAGUGAAAAACAUAAGAUAGGAUAAUGGUUGAGUAGUACAGACUCCCGAGGUGAACAAUUUGUAAGAGUCGGUAUGAGAAUCUCACUUAUAGUAUAUCCUUUUGCAAAUAUUGUCGGCCGAGGUGAAUACUUC
rnacentral:lncRNA from 1 species